rnacentral:tRNA from 1 species
GGCCGCGUGGCCUAAUGGAUAAGGCCCUUGACUUCGGAUCAGGAGAUUGCAGGUUCGAGUCCUGCCGUGGUCG